rnacentral:rRNA from 1 species
UACGUAGGGGGCAAGCGUUGUCCGGAUUUAUUGGGCGUAAAGAGCGUGUAGGCGGCUAGAUAGGUCCGUUGUGAAAACUCGAGGCUCAACCUCGAGACGUCGAUGGAAACCAUCUGGCUAGAGUCCGGAAGAGGAGAGUGGAAUUCCUGGUGUAGCGGUGAAAUGCGCAGAUAUCAGGAGGAACACCGGUGGCGAAGGCGGCCUGCUGGGCAGUGGCUGACGCUGAGGCGCGACAGCGUGGGGAGCAAACAGG